rnacentral:lncRNA from 1 species
GGGCUGUUUUUGACAAUACAAUGCACAUAUAUCCGGUACUAGCACCAUUAAGUCAUGCUAAAUUACUGAAAUCCUCAUAAUUCUAGCAUUUUAAUUAAAUUUUAGACGGUUUUCGUGUAAAACGAAAGUGGCCGCAUUCGUGUUCAUCCUUAAUAUUGAAAUGCAAGUUGUAUUUUAUGAUAAUACAUAACAUAUAUAAAGGUUGAGGAUGAACACGGAUGCGGCCACUUUCAUUUUUACCAAAAACCAUCUGAAAAGUGACAUUUUUCGGCAUAUUAGGUAGAUUUUUCAUAUUUGAGCUUGAAUCGGAUCGUUUUUAAUGACUAAAUCUAUUAAAAUCUUUCACAUAAACCAAUUAAUUCAAAUAAAAUAGACACUUAAGUGUUUAAAAAGUGGUCAAAAUCUUUCGUCAGAUGAACCUGAAAUUUGAGGCCAAAAUCGGUC